ensembl:lncRNA
GAGAACAGGAGGCUGUCACAGUCCAGAUCCUUACCAGUGAUGAAUGCAUGAGGCAGGUGAUUAUUUAAAUCUCAAAGAGUAUCCUGGUAGCUUGGUGAAACCAAAAAAUUUGCCAAGGAAGUCAAGGUACCUUUCAGAAGAAGGAUCAGAUAAACUGCUCUUUCUUCUCAAGUGGCAGAGAACCAAUGUCUUUACUACACAUUUACUUCACGCCAUGAGAAACAGAAGAUGGUCACUACAUAAAGGAUGCAAUACAGAAUCAUCCCUACACAGAAACAAUUCCUAUGCUGUUAGUGAGGAAGAGAGUAAGUUUUUAAGAACAAGGAAUUAUUGUUUUAUGGGAUCACCUGCUGCAAGACAAGCAUUAUUUUAAUAUAAGUGUUCUGAGACAUACCAUUAAAGUUGGCAGGUAUAU